rnacentral:lncRNA from 1 species
AAACGAUGAAAACUCCUCCUUACCAUGUUUUUCCAUGGCUGCUGUUUCAUUUUGGAUUGGACAUAGGAAGAAGCCACAAGAUUACCUGAUGAUGCCAGAAGAACACAAUCCUCUUUCACCUUUUCUUGCACUGUUAAUGGAGUGCAAUAAAAUAUAGCUAAGAAAACUACUUUCAGGAGGCUGAAAUCUGGAGGAGAUCAAAAUCUGGCUCAUUUGGCACAGGAAAGCCAAGAAACCAUGCAGGACUGGAAACUUCUAGUUGGUAAGACUGGUUAGAGUUAAAUCAAAGAGGAGUCUUUUACUCAAAGUCAUGCAAUUUAUUACUCCACUAUGGGUUCUCCAGAAGUAUAUAAUACCUUGCUGUAAUGGUAACUAGGAAAAUACUUUGAGGUUUUAAAGCAGGAUGUACAGUUCAUGCUGGUUACUGAGUGAUAAAUGAUACAGGCUGCACAGAACAACUAUACAAACACAGUAUUUCAGCUGGCACAGCAAAG